CCUACGGGAGGCAGCAGUGAGGAAUAUUGGUCAAUGGGAGAGAUCCUGAACCAGCCAAGCCGCGUGAGGGAAGACGGCCCUAUGGGUUGUAAACCUCUUUUGUCGGAGAAAAAAACCCGGGACGUGUCCCGGACUGCGUGUAUCCGAAGAAAAAGCAUCGGCUAACUCCGUGCCAGCAGCCGCGGUAAAACGGAGGAUGCGAGGGUUAUCGGGUUUUAUUGGGUUUAAAGGGUGCGUAGGCGGUCCGUUAUGUCGGCGGGAAAAUUGCGGGGCUAAACCCCGUCGAGCCGUUGAAACUGGCAGACUUGAGGGGGCAAGAGGUGCGCGGAAGGCGAGGUGUAGCGGUGAAAUGCAUAGAUA
rnacentral:rRNA from 1 species